UUAACCGGUGCCUCGCUCGAACAUGAUGUUCUCGGUGGGCGGCUUUGAAUUUGGCCCACUGCAGUCGAUUGAGAGUAAAUGUAUCUUGUGGGCCCGCUUGAUGACCAUUAUGAGGCUAGGCAGUGCGCAGGAUGGAGCAUAUUGGAGCAGAGGCGCUCCGCGCUUUCGCCAUGGAUGGCAUGGAGUUCUUCUACGAGAAAUCAGAUGCAGGGCAGGUUCGCUCCUCCUUUGGAUGUCGAGGUUGUCUUGAGAGAUGGAGUUCGCGACGCGCCCUCGAUUGAUGAUGAGACCAGCGGAACUGCUGGUGUCCAAGAUGGCUUGAUUUCUUCCAAGCCAGUGCGUAGGGAUGGGUACCCCUGGAAUACGAAGCAGUUGAGCAGACGGAACAAAUAUUCGUCACCGAGAGGGAUUGCGGCUCGUACAAAGGGUGGCCGAUUCAUGUGAGCUAGGCACUGGAAAUAUUAGCGGUGAUACGGCAUCAGAGGAUGGAGAGGAGGACGGCGUGGUCGUGUCAAAGUCAAAGGGAUCUUGUUGGACCAGGAGGUGACUUGCCUUGUUCUUCAUUCUAAACCUGUCACCUGAUGUUUGCUAUAUAUUUUCUGUAGCUGUCUUUGUGUGAAAUUCAGAAGAAGCCUGCUCA